rnacentral:rRNA from 1 species
CCUACGGGAGGCAGCAGUGAGGAAUAUUGGUCAAUGGGCGGAAGCCUGAACCAGCCAAGUAGCGUGAAGGAUGACUGCCCUAUGGGUUGUAAACUUCUUUUAUAUGGGAAUAAAAUGUUCCACGUGUGGGAUUUUGUAUGUACCAUAUGAAUAAGGAUCGGCUAACUCCGUGCCAGCAGCCGCGGUAAUACGGAGGAUCCGAGCGUUAUCCGGAUUUAUUGGGUUUAAAGGGAGCGUAGGUGGAUUGUUAAGUCAGUUGUGAAAGUUUGCGGCUCAACCGUAAAAUUGCAGUUGAAACUGGCAGUCUUGAGUACAGUAGAGGUGGGCGGAAUUCGUGGUGGAGCGGUGAAAUGCUUAGAUAUCACGAAGAACUCCGAUUGCGAAGGCAGCUCACUGGACUGCAACUGACACUGAGGCUCGAAAGUGUGGGUAUCAAACAGGAUUAGAUACCCUAGUAGUC